CACCCAGUCACCUGCUGAAGCACAUCCAGGUCUUGGUCUUUCUCCUCUUUUCUUGAUUUUCACUGCCUGGGCCCAGCAUCACUUCCAAAGACCUCCAUUUGUUUGAUUUUACUGUAUUUAAUCUGCUUCACAGAAUGUUACCGACUUGGCUGACCUCUGAAGAAUCCCCCGGUACUGCCCUAUGUCAGGCACCACAGCCAGUUGUGCUCAAUUCGGGCACCUUUAGCUCUGCUGACUACUGACCCUGGGCAUGCAGUCCGUCCGGCGAGAUAGUGAGUGCAAAGUCUCACACAAAUUGAGUCAAUAGAAGUGACCCUGAACAACUGGGCUAUUUCAUCAUUUAAGUUUAUCAAAGAGAGACUUUAACACCCUCUCCCUCCCUCCCCUGAAAGACCAACACUGAUAAUAUAGAUUU
rnacentral:lncRNA from 1 species